ensembl:snRNA U6 U6 spliceosomal RNA
GAUAGAAAUGCCAGAUAUCUACUAAAAUUGGAACGAUCCAGAGAAGAUCAGCAUGGCCUUUGGUCAAGAAAUGCCAGAUACUAGAAGAAUUUUGUCCUUAUGUU